CAAACAGAAGAGAAGGUGAAACCCCCAGAGGAGAUGAAGAUGAAGAGAUGAUUCCAGGAGGAGCUAAGUCUUAGACUCCAUUUCCUUUUAUUGGACUCACUAAUAUGAUACCUGAACCCAACUGUAAUGCUGGUAGAAGAUCCUUCAGGAAAUUUAGUGGUUUAUAUCCAAGAUUCCAGGAAUUGCAGCGCUGGAGUGAUCCCAGAAGUUGUUUGUGCUGUCUCCAUACCUCAAAGAAGAAGAAACUAAAAUCUGAAGCAAUUAGUCAAGUUCAAAGGAAUCAGGAUCACCUCUCAUAAAAGCCGUAUAUGAAAAUAACUACAGCAAGGGGAUUAAAUAGAAUUCAUCUUUUGGAGAAGCCUAUUUAAAAAAGAAGAAGAAUCUUCAUUAGAGACCUUUGCCUGACUCCUAAAUCCUUGGUUAAUGAGUUAAUAGUUCUGUUCAAAUUGCUUACAUGAUCUUGAUUUAACUUUGGGAGGUGGUGUAUAUCGAGAAGGUUAUCCAUUUCUUCUGUUUUCUGAUUUGAUGCUGUGGCUUUGGAUCUGCAGGACUGGCCUCCUUCAUGUGCACUAGCAGCUCGUAGAUGGGGUGGAUGUUUGCGUGAGCCAACACAAAGCCCUGGAUCUGGGCCUGAAUGGAAGCUGAACUGGUUAGACCACCAGUUCUCCUAUGUCCACAUCACCAAAACCAGCUCUCCUACUGUGCCAGGAAUAUAUCAACCAGUUGUUCUUCUUAUUAUAUAGCAUGAACAAAUACAAAAUCACGACCAGCAUUUUUCAGAUCUUGCUGACAAGCCUAGAGAGCCAAAACUUGGGAAGCAGAAUGUUGUGGUUUGCCCUGGAGUUAUCUGUAUCUUGAUGCUAAUCCCACUGCCCCAAGGACAGCUGCCUAGUCAGUACUCAGGACUCAGAAAGAAUACAAGAGUACAAGAGCACGCUUGCUUCAUGAUGGAAAUGAUAUGUGGGAGAGAAGCGAGCAAUCAUGCAGGAAGGAGUUGCGGAAGCGGCGUUGGAAAAGCUUUCAAAAAAGUAAGAGGGAAUUCAGUUCAGAGAAAUAGAGAGACUGACCCUGUGGCAGAACUAUGGGUGUUUACUGGGAAAUUUAAAAGUUUGUGGCAGGAAGAUUAUGAGAAUUCUAUUUUCUAUAUGAAGCCUGAGGCAGGUAGAAACUAUGUAAGUAGCGUAACACAAUAAUGCUGCUAGACCAAUUUGCCCCUUGUUUUUCUUGAUAUCCUCAGAUCAUUCUCUUAUAUUGUGGGAUUCUUCUUCCAGUAGUUAGUUAGCACAAGUACAAGUCAAAGUCAAAUGCUCACUGACACAUUACUUUCCCAUUAAUGCCUCUUAGUGAAUCCAUUUUACAGAUUUAAAGCACUGAGCAUUACACAUGUUUAAUAAUUUGCUCAAUGAGAUGGGUGAAGGAAUUUGACUUCAUCACACCUGUCCAAUCUCAGAGCCUGCCCUUUGUUAGACUGUAUUGCCUCUACUUACCACAGUGUUUGAAUUACACAGGCAAAUGCUGUACUGUAAACAACAGGGUGUGCUGGUUUCCUGAUAACCAUCCUUAUCUGUCUUAAUAAUUAGCAUUACUUCUUCACCAAUUUACCUACUUAACUGUUUUUAUAUUCUGGAGAAAGGGGUACCUCAUUUCAAAUUUACCGUGGUUAGGUGGAACAACAUGAAGUUAUAUAUUCUCAGCUUAAUGUUUCCCAUACAUGAAAGGAGUUUUAUCACUUAAAAAGUCAAAUAGUGAUAAAGAAACUAGAAAUCCCAACUGUGAGUGUACAUCUUCAAGAAUAAUCCCCUCUCUUUCUUCUUUGUCUGAAUGUAACAUUUGCUUUUGUGAACAUGUUAAUUUUUCCACAGGAUGAUUUCUUUAAUUUUUUUUUCUUUUUCAAUAAGACAAAAACAAGAAUUCUGAGAUUUGAAAGAGUAUCUAUAAAAAGCAGAAAAGAACAAAAAGAUGCUGUCUUGGCACUGAGCUAAUGAAGAACUCUAUUGAAAAGAGCAGCAAGAGACAGAAUGAUGUAGGCGUGUUCUUCCUGAGACCUGUUGGUUCCUUUUAGCUUUCUAUGUGCAAUGGUGCUGUUUGAAACUUGGACACAAACUUGAUUUGACAUUCUCGUUAUCAGGCACAGUGACUGGAGCGCACAGGAGAAAUGCAAGGAAAGAAACAGGUGACGUGGGAAGGAGGAAGGCACGUCCUGAAUUUUCUAACAUAUUUUCAUUUUUAUAAAAUUUUGUGAAAGGGUCUGACUUAUUCCAUUUUAUGAACAGGAAAGUGAUUUGUUUGGGGAUAAAGAUUAUAUUAUGAACAUACAGCAUCUAGAUUUAUGUCAUUUAUUCUAUUAUUCUUGUUCAUCUUGACUCAGGGAACGUUGGAUGGAAAAGACUACUGAAGAACGGGGCCAAUUUAUUGAAGUUCUAAUUUAUAGAAAUUCAAUUUAUAGAAAUUUUAAUCUAUCCUAGGAAAACAAAAGAUAAAAGUUAAGAUGAAAAUUCAGUCAGAAGAAGUUGGGAGUAAUACUAUCAUAGGCAAUUAAUCUGAUAACAAAUGCUGGAGAGAACAUGGAGAGAAAGAAGCAUCCAUUCACUGUUGUUGAGGGUGCAAAUAAAUGAAGGCGUUAUGGAAAUCAGAUUGGGGAUUUCUCAAAACAAUUAAAAAUAAAACUAUCAUGAACUCUAGCUAUCUCACUUCUAGGCAAGAAAACUUCAUAAAGAUAUUUGUACUCCUGGGUUUAUUGCCACUUCAUUCAAUUAAAAUGAAGAAUUGAAAUUAACCUAGUUGUACACAAACAGAUGAAUGGAUAAUAAAAAUUUGCUAUAUUUAUGAAUACUACUCAGUUCUAAAAAAUAAAUUAAAAACUUGCAGGAAAGUGGAUGGACUUAGAAUGUUUAAUAUGAAGCGAGAUCGCAUACAGUUCCAAACAGAAAUAAACUGCAUGUUCUCUCCUGUAUGUGGAAUUUAGCCAAUAAUAUGUGUAUAUACAUGACAGUGUACUUGUGGUCCAGUACAACAUGAGGAAAAGAAUGACUGAAUAAAGGGGAUGGGGAAACACUGAAUGCAGGAUAUGGACGUGAGAUUUGAAAGAUAAUAUCAAGGUAAUUGUUUUUCUUGUUCUAAUUCUGUCAGUUUUUUGAGGGGUUGGUGGUUGACAAGAGCAUAAAAUAAACCCAAUACUGAAAUUGAAAAAAUUUAAUGUUGAAGUCUCUCACUUCUGUAUCGAAUGUCAGUUUUAACUGUGUAUAAAUGUAUAUUCAUUAAAUUGUGUAGACCGGGUCUGUUUAAAUUUGCUGUGUAUGUUUUUAUUUAUUUGUAAGAUUUUCAAUAAUAAAGUUUACAAAAUUAAAAGAGAAAUCUAAAAAAGAAGUGGUUUGUG
rnacentral:sRNA from 1 species